rnacentral:lncRNA from 1 species
CCGGGUCUGAGCAGCCGGGGCCUCGGGACCAGCUCACCAGGACAGCGGUUCCAGAAACCAACCAAAACAGGAGCAGUUUGUGACUCUGCCAUGACAGAUGUGGCUCUCCUCAGCCCCCACAGGCGCUGCCGUCAGCACCCCAUCUUCAGUCUUGAAAACUGAGGCUCAGGCUGCCCUGGCUGGGGUGCGGUUUGUCCCCCAGGGUUCCCCAAGGAGGCUUCUCCCCCAGGGAGGCUUGGUCCUCAGCAAGGAGGAGGGAGGUGCUGGGCCCUUUAAGAGGUAGGGCCUGUGCCAGCCUUGGGACCGAAGGUGGUCCCUGGAGAGCCAGUUGUGAGGACAUCUGGGUCUGGCCUGUGAGUCCUCUCAGGCUUCCUGUUUGAGCUGUGACUCCUUGCUCCUGCCAUCGCCCUCUGCCAUGGUGUGACACAGCCAAGGGGGCCCUCACCAGGACUGAGCCCACGCAGCUGCCUGCCAGGAACCUCCAGAACUGGGAGCCGAAUGGGCUCUUUUUCUUCAGAGCAGCCUGCCUCAGGUGUUUCGCUACAGUCACGCACAGCUGACUGACACACCCGCCAAGGUCGCAAGGCCAGGCAGGAGCAGAGCUGAGAUUUGAACCCGGGCAGAGUCCAGGCCUGUAACUAGGGUCCGACGACGCCCCUGUCUCUGGGCCAGCAGGAGCCCAGGGCCUGCUGCAGAAAGACCCUCAGCCAGUGUCCCCGCCUGCUGGACGGGCCUUUCUGUGCAGCCCUCUGGAUCCCCAGAUGAUGGUGGGGGCUGCUGUCCGCACCCCACUCAGAGGGGAGUGGCGUCGCCUGGUGGCUGGGACUCCAGGGAACCAGUCACUUCCCCAUCUAGAGAAUGUCUGCGCUCAAGGGGACACAGGGGUCCCUGAGUCCAGCAGAUGGCAGCUCCGAGGCCCUGGCCCACAGCCUGCUCUGAAGAUCCCUGGUGUUUGACGUGUGGCCCAGAGGUGACUCCCAGGCCAGGCCGCCAAGUGGUUGCCAUAGCAGGGGACCUUCUGUGUGACAGUCUCCUGCCACCUUCCCAGCAUUGCAGAUAGGGGACUGAGGUCCCUGGGAGCGACACCCCCUCCCCAGGGUGGCAGCUUGGGACAAGGUCAUGGGGACUGCUCACAGGAAGGAAGUGGCUUACCCAGAGCCCGAGCCAGCAGACAGGACCUGGGUGUGGGCCGAGGCCGCCUGGGCCAGGGGACCUGCCCAUCGCCGGCACCUUGGGGUUGACCGGGAGGAAGGCCUGCAGGGCCGUGGGGGACCCCUGGGAGGCACUGUCCGGGGCCCGUGGGUGGCAGUUCUGGUCGGAGACCGUCA